rnacentral:lncRNA from 1 species
GCUUUUUUGACUACUAGUCUUUUGUUUUUCUUCCUAUGUCCGAGACCUUGCUUUCCGCUAUGCCUAGAUAUGCUACGAUCGCAUGGCAUGAGAGAGGGCUUCGUAAGUAAGUAGCAUGCGGAGGUUUGGAACCCAUCAUAAACACACUUUGGAGCCCAAGCAGCACUUGUGCUAGCCACUCCACUAAAGGCGUUCGAAAAAGGUGCCUGCCCUUCGGAUCGCAUCUUACCAUGGGCUACAGGUGGGGUGGUUGGUACCAGGCAGCAACGACACUUGAACAUAUACCAUAGCAAUGAGAGCUAGCUCUUUUUUCAAAAC